rnacentral:rRNA from 1 species
GACGAACGCUGGCGGCGUGCUUAACACAUGCAAGUCGAACGGAAAGGCCCUGCUUUUGUGGGGUGCUCGAUUGGCGAACGGGUGAGUAACACGUGAGUAACCUGCCCUUGACUUUGGGAUAACUUCAGGAAACUGGGGCUAAUACCGGAUAGGAGCUCCUGCUGCAUGGUGGGGGUUGGAAAGUUUCGGCGGUUGGGGAUGGACUCGCGGGUUAUCAGCUUGUUGGUGGGGUAGUGGCUUACCAAGGCUUUGACGGGUAGCCGGCCUGAGAGGGUGACCGGCCACAUUGGGACUGAGAUACGGCCCAGAAUCCUACGGGAGGCAGCAGUGGGGAAUAUUGCACAAUGGGCGGAAGCCUGAUGCAGCAACGCCGCGUGCGGGAUGACGGCCUUCGGGUUGUAAACCGCUUUCGCCUGUGACGAAGCGUGAGUGACGGUAAUGGGUAAAGAAGCACCGGCUAACUACGUG